GGAGAGUUAGCUCAGUGGCAGAGCACCUCGUUCACAUCGAGGGGGUCACAGGUUCGAAUCCUGUACUCUCCACCA
rnacentral:tRNA from 1 species